rnacentral:rRNA from 1 species
GACGAACGCUGGCGGCGUGCUUAACACAUGCAAGUCGAACGGAAAGGCCCUGCUUUUGUGGGGUGCUCGAGUGGCGAACGGGUGAGUAACACGUGAGUAACCUGCCCUUGACUUUGGGAUAACUUCAGGAAACUGGGGCUAAUACCGGAUAGGAGCUCCUGCUGCAUGGUGGGGGUUGGAAAGUUUCGGCGGUUGGGGAUGGACUCGCGGCUUAUCAGCUUGUUGGUGGGGUAGUGGCUUACCAAGGCUUUGACGGGUAGCCGGCCUGAGAGGGUGACCGGCCACAUUGGGACUGAGAUACGGCCCAGACUGCUACGGGAGGCAGCAGUGGGGAAUAUUGCACAAUGGGCGGAAGCAUGAUGCAGCAACGCCGCGUGCGGGAUGACGGCCUUCGGGUUGUAAACCGCUUUCGCCUGUGACGAAGCGUGAGUGACGGUAAUGGGUAAAGAAGCACCGGCUAACUACGUG